rnacentral:misc_RNA from 1 species
AAAAAAAGUUACAAACAACAGCAGGAUCAGAAAUUAGACAUGGAUGGUGGAAUUUUUAUUUUAGAGUUUCCUCCAUACUUUGUUUUGUUAUUUUGUAUGUAAAUUACAACAAAAUAAUCAGAUUUGGGCAGGUUUGGGUAGUAUGAGGGUAGUACUACCGUUAGUAAAAUAUAUAUUCUAAUCGGGUUUGGACGGAUUUAGGUAGUAGAUAUAGUGGUUCAGGCUUGGAUAGUUUUAAAUUCGCGGGUACCUUAUCUAUUGCCAACCCUAUUUGUAAUGCAAAUGGGUCUUGAAUUAAGUGGGCCAGUAGUUGAACAAAGCUAAGCCCUAAGCCCAUUGGUUUUAGGGUUUUAAGUCUUUUGGGUAUGGCAAAGCAAAAAUCUUGAAAUAGCCUGUGCGAAAUCCAGGAUUUCAGCUGUUCACUUGGGUUUUUGUUAUUAUUUGGGUACAAUUCUCAAUUGUUGUGGUUUCUAAACUGAACAGAUUGAAGAAUGAGGAAGCUAA